AGUUCACUAUCUCAGAUUUAAUUUGAGAAUAUUAAAACCGCCUAAAGCAAACACGAAACCCAUUUCAAUUCUCUGUUCUCAACCCUUACAAUUCAUUCUCUCUACGACUCUACUUCAUCCUAAAUUCGCAUUGAGGUUUAGAGCGUCAUGAAUGUCAUAAUCAGAUCUUGGUUAUCCUUGCACUGCUCAUAUGCUUGCUGAAUAUCUCUAUUCGCCUUUAAUGGCAUUCAAUUUCAUCUCUUUCGAUCUUUGUCGAUAAUAUUCAGGAACUUGACUUUCAUUCCAAGUUGGACUAAUUUAUAACCUUUAUGGAUUGGAAAAGGCAAUGUUUACAAGAGAAUAGGCCGGAACACUUGAGCAUCAAAACAAGAGACUAUAUAUAAGGCCAUUUUCUAUCUAUCUAUUUUGGUUUUUAGUCUUAUAUUAGUGAUGAAUUUAUUUAGGGACAAGCUACUAUAAAAUGCGACGUUUUUUUUUAUUUUAUUUUACUUUUAUUUUCUA